rnacentral:ncRNA from 2 species
UGACGAGCCUCUGGAGAGACUUUUAAAAGUCACCGAAGGAGAAAGCUGAUUUUUCAGCGAAACUCUCAGGUAAAAGGACAGAGUAUUUUCU